UACGGGGGGGGCAAGCGUUGUUCGGAAUUACUGGGCGUAAAGGGCGCGUAGGCGGCCAACUAAGUCACACGUGAAAUCCCCAGGCUUAACCUGGGAACUGCGUGUGAUACUGGAUGGCUUGAAUUCGGGAGAGGGAUGCGGAAUUCCAGGUGUAGCGGUGAAAUGCGUAGAUAUCUGGAGGAACACCGGUGGCGAAGGCGGCAUCCUGGACCGGUAUUGACGCUGAUGAGCGAAAGCCAGGGGAGCAAACGGG
rnacentral:rRNA from 1 species